GGACCCGUAAUCUAGUCUGGAUAGGGUACCCGCCUUCGGAGACUCCUACAGGAGCUGAACUGGGCUGUCGCAGGUUCGAAUCCUGCCGGGUCCG
rnacentral:tRNA from 1 species